ACCACACAGAUCACCCAGGUACCAGGUAAGUGAAGCUGCAGUGGCUACCAUGUAUGUAUGUAUGCUGUGUACUGAGAUGUUACAAUUUAGUUAACUAAGGUGGAAUGCAGAGGAGACAGGUUGCAGCUAAUUAGGAUUGGUAACCGAUGGGGUCAGGUGGAAAGGAAGGGAGCCUGGAGUGACAAGUCCUCUAAGUGGAGAUCAGUGAGAGACGAUGACUGACCAACUGCUAUGAGGAUGGGGAGUUCUGGGUGUCAUUUUCCGACUUCCUGCGCCAACAUUCUCUCCUUCAGAUAAUGUCAGUCGGGUCUUGUGUACAGCUUCAAUCAAUGGAUAAUGGAGGAAAUGAUUCCUAUAAGUAGGAUUUACCACACACAUAAUAAAACCAUAAUUUCCCAC